rnacentral:rRNA from 1 species
UAGCGUUGCUCGGAAUCACUGGGCGUAAAGCGCACGUAGGCGGCUUUCUAAGUCAGGGGUGAAAUCCUGGAGCUCAACUCCAGAACUGCCUUUGAUACUGGAGAGCUUGAGUCCGGGAGAGGUGAGUGGAACUCCGAGUGUAGAGGUGAAAUUCGUAGAUAUUCGGAAGAACACCAGUGGCGAAGGCGGCUCACUGGCCCGGUACUGACGCUGAGGUGCGAAAGCGUGGGGAGCAAACAGG